rnacentral:rRNA from 1 species
GUGGGGAAUCUUCCGCAAUGGGCGAAAGCCUGACGGAGCAACGCCGCGUGAGUGAAGAAGGCCUUCGGGUCGUAAAGCUCUGUCUUUAGGGACGAACCGCGUAUGGAGUAAUAUGCCAUACGUCUGACGGUACCUAAGGAGGAAGCUCCGGCUAACUACGUGCCAGCAGCCGCGGUAAUACGUAGGGAGCGAGCGUUGUCCGGAAUUACUGGGCGUAAAGGGCGCGUAGGCGGAGGUUUAAGUAGGGUGUGAAAACUAUGGGCUCAACCGAUAGACUGCAACCUAAACUGGGCCUCUUGAGGGCAGGAGAGGAAAGUGGAAUUCCUAGUGUAGCGGUGAAAUGCGUAGAUAUUAGGAGGAACACCAGUGGCGAAGGCGACUUUCUGGACUGUACCUGACGCUGAGGCGCGAAAGCGUGGGGAGCGAACAGGAUUAGAUACCCGAGUAGUCC